AAAAAGGUUAUUUUUUUUUUGCUACAAAUGCAGAAAAGAAGGACAUUAUGUCAAUAAGCGUCCACAAAGAGGUAUGCAUGAGAUAAAUGAAGAAGAAUAUUCUUCAAAUUCAUCAUAUAUUUCUGACUUUAAUAUAUUGAAAAUUGCAGAUGAAACCGAUUCAGAAGUUUCAAGCCAAUCUUCCUCAAAUGAGGGGCCAAGAGUAUGGGAUUGUAUCAAAGACCCAUGCAAAUGUGUUUUAAAUGAAAUAAAUAUUUUAACUUCCGAAUAGGAUUUAUUAUUUCAAACUAUCACUAAAAGAAAAUGGAGCAUUCCCGACGCCGAAAAGGACGUCGACAUAAAGAAUGUCGGGAAUAAGGGCUUUACCGACGCCAUCAACACCGCAUCGGAAGAAGCAUCGGGAAAACACUCUUUCCCGACGCAUAACGAAGCGUCGAGCCGAAAUCGAGUGGGGAAAAGAGAGGAGAAGCCGAGAGCCGUAGUCGUUUUCGUCGCCCUUCCGCCGCUGUUCCGUCGCUGUCCAGCCGUUGUCCCUCGCUGCCGUCUGCCAAUUUAGCCAUUAUGUCAUAUCGACGAUCAAAUUUUAUAGAGACGGACGAUAUGUUCCUUCAGUUUGAGGACAAUUUAGAUAACAUCGUGGGAGGGUCGUCAUUUGUGGGCGACAAUACGGGGUCUUCUUCUUAACAAGCGACUCUGACUCCUAGGAGACAUGCGCAAUCUCGACUCUUAAAGUUAGAGCACCACGUUGCAAUAAAUAGGCGCAUUCCGAUGACGAUCGCGCCUGGAGCGGAAAAGCCUAUUUCUCCACACGCCGUUUGCUUCUAUAAGGCGAUAGGCGUGUGCGUGCGAAAGACAUUUCCCGUCCGCUGUCUUAAGUGAGCAGACUUUGGGAGAGAAUGUAUUGAGGUCGUCAAGGGCGAUCUCCAGGUUUGUUGAGCAUCAGAUGGUCACGACCUUUAAAGAGUUUCGGGCCGACUGUCAUAGACAUUUCAAAAAGUACAGCAACCCGGAGGAGGCUCGUGCCAACCCACCAAACGCAUUGGUUGGACCUGAUGAGAAUUGGUGCUUCCUCUGCGACCAUUAUAUCAGCCGUGCAUUCCAGGUAUUUGUCAUGAUUAAUUAUGAUAACAAGUUUUAAUAUGUAUAAGAAAUAAACAAUAUAAAUAAACAAUAUAAUUGUUUUAAUGCACGAGCAAUCACGGACGAACAAGGCUGCUAGACAGAAGCAGCCUUACAAUCAUAGAAGUGGGUCCAAGUCGUUUCUACAACGACAGUAUGAGCUUGCUGAGAGAAAAGGAGAGUCGGUCGAUCGUGUGCAAUUGUUUCGGGAAACACACGUUCGAGUUGGGACAUUCGUGUCGCAGGCCGUCGAGGAUGCACAUAAUUAAAUGCUGGAACUCUAAUCCUAACCUACCCUAGAGGGUAGUUAGCCACUCUCUGAGGAUGAGAUAUACGAUCAAGUGUUGGGUAGACGACUAGGCUACUUAAAAGGCCUUGGUUGGGGACCGAAGCCGAAGGCCCACAGAACGGCGAGUGCAAGCAGUUCAUCGACAUCUUGUUCGCAGUCCACAGAAAAAGAGAUUGAAUUACAAGCUAAACUUCAAUAAGCUUUGGAACGGAUUGAAGUACAAGAUAGAAAUCACCAAGCAUUAGCUUCACAAGUGGAAAGUAUGAAAAAGAUGAUAGAAGAAUUUACUCGUGCACAACAGGGACCACCACAUGAUCUCUAGCUCUGCGGACCGAAGGUGUAGAAUGACGCGCAUACGCACCUCGUUAUGAGACUUUUUCUUAUGUUUAUGUUUUUUCUAUUUUGAGAACUAUAUCUAUUGUAGUGAACUUAUUCGUAUUAUUAAUUUUAAUUAUAUUUUUUUAAUUUGUGUU